AUUAUUUAUAUAGGUGGUUACCAUGCCAUCAACUUGCGGUGAAAAUAUUAAAUAUUCUCUAAUUUGAGUGCGAUAAAAAUGCUUCACGUAUCUGGAUUAAAAAAAUUGACGAACCGAUCUUCGAAUGAUGUUGGAAAUGCUAAUCAACCAAGAGGCAGCAUUAUCUAAACAGGAUAAGAUGACCAAACUUUUCCAGAACAUUCUGAGCGAGAAGCACUUUGUAUACGGUACCAUUCAUUUGUCGGGGGAUUCGGCGCCAGUAGUCUCGAGGUCACGUUUGGUACUCUGCGUUAUUGGUGCACCGAGAUAAUGGAGUUCAUCGAUGGUUUGAUGGUUUACUUUAGAGAUCCCUUCAAAGAUCACAUUGAUAGUUGCCUUAGUGCUGGGCAUCAACGUUGAAAUUAUGCUGCUGUGGGUUUCCAAGUUCCAACGCAGAUUGGCUAUCAGAUUUUACCUUUAAACACAUUACAAGAGGCCGAAUUCAAAUAACGAUGGCAAAAUAUGUUUGAAUAAUAAUUUCGACGUUUUCCCGUCCUAUCAACUUCGUCGAGAGCAGUGAUAAUGAAUAAAUAUUUAAAACCAGGGAAUUGAACAAGCUUAACAAGGCUACAUAUUCCAGCAAUGACGAAAGAAGGGAAAAUGUUGAAUGAUUACGAUAAUCGGAAAACCUAGGAAGCCAAAUAAAAGAUUUAUAUGUAUUUGUUGUAAAAUAUAUUUUAGUUUGCGUACAUUUCAAUUUCUAAAACAAAAAUCGUAAAAAGCGCUCAAUGUUAAUAUGCUUAUUGCUUUCGUUAUAAAUCAAAGUGCGAUAGGUACAACCUAACCUACCCACAAUUCGUUUUCAAUAUCGAUAGCACUCGAUGAGGUUGUGAACUAAAUCCAUCUAAUCAGCGCUCAGAACCGAGCAUUAAAAGUGUAGAUCAUCGUUUGGCCAGAGCUUGGAGAGUUUAACGAACGUCUAGUAGCAUUGAACAGCUUACCAUAAAAACUUUCUUGUUUUCUGUAAGAGGAAAAAUUUGGGUAUCUAAAGGCUUUUUUGAGUUCAAAAGAAAACAGUAACUAGAGUGUACAAGUUGUGCUAGUAAUUUUAACAGAACUUACUGAUACUCCAAUUUACAUCGCACUGGUCAGUAGUAGUACUUUUACAUUUCACUGAAACAAUGAUUUAUGCAAUACUGCAUGAGUAUGUCAUUAGAUUUACCAAGUGUUUUAGAGCGGUUAUCUUGCAGUUCCUUAAAUUUCGACGAUAGUAUGUUAAUUUUGUUGAGAAAGCAUGCGGAGAAUUAGUAUGUAUGUACAACUGGAAAGACGAGCCAGGACGCUGAGGUUGACAGGCCUGUAUCUGUUUUCGAAUUGAAUGUGCAGGAACAAUUUUCUUUUCUCGUCUUCGAUCUAGCACUUUUUUCUAAGACUGCACGUAUCGAGUCGUAACUCUUGCCACUGAAACACGUAUAUAAUUCAAACACACAGCUGACUCUUUCAUUUGGCCAAUAGAUGUUAAAGAAUAAAUAAUGUUGUUUAAUAAAAGAGCUUUUGGGGUAUGCAUAUAUGUUACUUAAACUUUAUUGAUAAAAAGCGCUAGAAGGGAA